UUCCUACGGGAGGCAGCAGUGGGGGAUAUUGCACAAUGGGGGGAACCCUGAUGCAGCGACGCCGCGUGGGUGAAGAAGCGCCUCGGCGCGUAAAGCCCUGUCAGCAGGGAAGAAAAUGACGGUACCUGAAGAAGAAGCCCCGGCUAACUACGUGCCAGCAGCCGCGGUAAUACGUAGGGGGCAAGCGUUAUCCGGAUUUACUGGGUGUAAAGGGCGUGCAGCCGGGCUGACAAGUCAGAUGUGAAAUCCCGCGGCUCAACCGCGGAACUGCAUUUGAAACUGUCAGUCUUGAGUACCGGAGAGGU
rnacentral:rRNA from 1 species